UCAACUGUGAAAUGGGAGGGGCGUGGAAAACAAACGUAGUAUCUGUUCCUAUGGGUUAAAGCAUCGAAUGAGGUCUCCAUCUAUGUUCAGGGCAUUAAAUUAAUAUUUGGAAUUGGGAGAUGGUUUGGGAGCUUGCUCUAUCCUCUCCAUGCCUCAGCAUGUAAUUGCAAUGCUUUCAAGAAUGGUGCAUUCCUU
ensembl:snRNA U2 U2 spliceosomal RNA